AUGGUGCUUCGGAUCACCAGGAACACAAAGACUAAUGCUGAAAAUAAGCUGAAAAUCAGUAUGGCAGGGGCAAAGCGCUUGCCUGUGGCUACUGCUGCAACCUCUAAGCCUGGGCUGAGGCCCCGAACAGCUCUUGGAGACAUCCGUAACAAAGUCAGUAAACAGCCACAGGCCAAACUGCCCUUGAAAAAGGAAGCAAAAAUUUUAGCUGCAGGAAAAGUUACUGCUAAAAAAGUAGCAAAACCUCUGGAAAAGGCUCCUGUACAUAUGCCGGAGCCCCAGCUGAGGCCGGAGACAGAAUCAGAGCUUGUUAAGGAAGAGAAACUUUCCCCUGAGCCCAUUUUGGUUGAUACUCCGUCUCCAAGCCCCAUGGAAACAUCUGGCUGUGCCCCUGCAGAAGAAUAUCUGUCAGGCUUCCUUGGAUGUAAUUCUUGCAGUGAGUGAUGUGGAUGCAGAAGACGGAGUGGAUCCAAACCUCUGUAGUGAAUAUGUAAAAGACAUCUAUGCUUAUCUGAGACAACUUGAGGAAGAGCAAGCAGUCAAACCAAAAUACCCAAUGGGUCGUGAAGUCACUGGAAACAUGAGAGCCAUCCUAAUUGACUGGCUAGUGCAUGUUCAAAUGAAAUUCAGGUUACUGCAGGAGAACAGGUACAUGACUGUUCCAAAAGAUAAUUGUGUGCCCAAGAAGAUGCUGCAGCUGGCUGGAGUCACUGCCAUGUUUGUUCCAAGCAAAUGUGAGGAAACGUACCCUCCAGAAAUCGGUGACUUUGCCUUUGUGACUGACAACACUUACACCAAGUUCCAAAUCAGACAGAUAGAAAUGAAGAUUCUAAGAGCUGUAAAUUGUAGUCAGGGUCACCCUCUACCCCUGCAUUUCCUUCAGAGAGCAUCUAAGAUUGGAGAGGUUAAUGUUGAGCUACAUACUCUGGCCAAAUAUCUGAUGGAACUAACUAUGCUGGACUGUGAUAUGGAGUACUUUCCUCCUCGGAUUGCAGCAGGAGCUUUUUGCUUAGCACUGAAAAUUCUUGAUAAUGGUGAACGGACACCAUCUCUACAGCAUUACCUGUCAUACACUGAAGAAUCCCUUCUUGUUGUUAUGCAACACCUGGCAAAAAUACAGUCAUGGUGAAUCGUGGGCUUACAAAGCACAUGACUAUUAAGAACAAGUAUGCCACAUCUAAGCAUGAUCAGCACAGCUGAAUUCUGCACUAGUUCAAGAUUUAGCCAAGGCUGUGGCAACGGUGUAA
rnacentral:lncRNA from 1 species